rnacentral:misc_RNA from 1 species
AGAAUAUGCAGAAUUUGGACACCUUCCAAGGAAGAAGUUUACUGAUUUUGCUGCUGUGAGAAAGGAGAUCGCUGACGAGACUGACCGAGAGACAGGCCGUAGCAAACAAAUAUCUAGCGUACCUAUUUAUCUCAGUAUAUAUUCUCCCAAUGUCGUAAACUUGACACUGAUAGAUCUUCCUGGACUUACAAAAGUAGCAGUUGAGGGACAAUCUGAUAGCAUUGUUGCGGAUAUUGAAAACAUGGUUCGCGCUUAUAUUGAGAAGCCGAAUUGCAUUAUUCUUGCUGUUUCUCCUGCCAAUCAAG